rnacentral:rRNA from 1 species
GUGUCAGCAGCCGCGGUAAGACGGAGGGUGCAAGCGUUAUUCGGAUUUAUUGGGCGUAAAGAGAGUGUAGGCGGUCAGCCAAGUCUGAUGUGAAAGCCCGGGGCUUAACCUCGGAAGGGCGUUGGAAACUGGUUGACUUGAGUUCGGGAGAGGGAAGCGGAAUUCCGGGUGUAGAGGUGAAAUUCGUAGAUAUCCGGAGGAACACCGGUGGCGAAGGCGGCUUCCUGGACCGAAACUGACGCUGAGACUCGAAAGCGUGGGGAGCAAACAGGAUUAGAAACCCUCGUAGUCC